rnacentral:rRNA from 1 species
CCCUACGGGGUGCGCAGGCGGUUUUGUACGCCAGAUGUGAAAUCCCCGGGCUUACCCUGGGAACUGCGUUUGGAACUACAAGGCUAGAGUGUGUCAGCGGGGGGUAGAAUUCCACGUGUAGCAGUGAAAUGCGUAGAGAUGUGGAGGAAUACCGAUGGCGAAGGCAGCCCCCUGGGAUAACACUUACGCUCAUGCACGAAAGCGUGGGGAGCAAACA